GACACUGGGAGGCAGCUGUGGGCAGAUGACUCCUAUGCGCUGGCAGCUCUCUGCAGUUUCCAAAGCCCUGUCUCAUCCAGUAGCGCUGAUGGGCUUCUCUGAGCCUCAGUUUCCUCUGUAAAAUGGAGAGAAAACACUGAUGCCUGCUCCCCCGCCCACCCUCACAGGGCACUCUUUGCCUGCUAAAGCCCUGUGGACAGUGAUCACCUGUUAACAUGCUAUGGAACUAAUGUUUGGAAAACUCAGACCCAAAUCCUUUGCAUCCCCUUUUUUCCUGAUUACUAAAACACUGCAGUUUCCGCGUUCAUCGUAAGAAAUCUGGAAAACAUAAUAAGGAAUAGGAAAGAUUGUUUAGAUCUUUCAAUAUCUCGUCACCCGGAAGGAAGCACUCUUACCAUUUUGGUUUAUUUUUUUCCAG
rnacentral:lncRNA from 1 species